GGCUUCGUAGCUCAGAGGAUAGAGCAUUGGUUUCCUAAACCAUGUGCCGCAGGUUCGAUUCCUGCCGAGGCCG
rnacentral:tRNA from 1 species